GGUUGAAAUACCGGUUCCCGUACGAUCACCGAAGUUAAGCAACGUCGCGUCUUGUCAGUACCUAGAUGAGUGACCGCUUGGGAAUACCAGGUGCUGUAAG
rnacentral:rRNA from 1 species